UGAAUGUCUUCUUUGCAUCUUCCUCAUGUG
rnacentral:piRNA from 1 species